CUAGGAAUAAGCCUUACCAAGGAACUGAAAGAACUAUACUGUGAAAACCACAAAACACUCAUAAGAGAAAUUAAGGAAGAUACCAAUAAAUGGAAACACAUUCCAUGCUCAUGGAUAGGAACAAUUUAUAUUGUCAAAACAGCCAUCUUGCAUAAAGCAAUCUACAGGUUCAAUGCAAUCCCUAUCAAAAUACCAACAGUAUUCUUCAACGAACUAAGCAAAUAGUUCUAAAAUUCAUUUGGAACAACAAAAGACCCCAACUAGCCAAAGCAAUCUUGAGAUGGAAGAAUAAAGUUGGGGGGAAUAUGCUCCCCAACUUCAAGCUCUACUACAAAGCCACAGUAAUCAAGACAAUUUGGUACUGGCACAAGAAGAGACCCACAGACCAAUGGAACAAACAGUCUAGAGAGCCCAGAUAUAUACCCACACAUCUAUGGUCAAUUAAUACAUGAUAAAGGAGCCAUGGAUAUACAAUGGGGAAAUGACAGUUUCUUCAACAACUGGUGUUGGCAAAACUGGACAGCUACAUGUAAGAGAAUGAAACUGGAUUAUUGGCUAUCCCCUUACACAAAAGUAAACUCAAAAUGGAUGAAAGACCUAAAUGUAAGUCAUGAAACAAUAAAACUCCUAUAAGAAAACAUAGGCAAAAAUCUCCUGAACAUAAACAUGUGCAACUUUUUCCUGAACACAUCUCCUUGGGCAAGGGAAACAAACAAAAAAAAUGAACAAAUGGGACUACAUCAUGCUAAAAAGCUUCUGUACAGCAAAGGACACCAUCAGUAGAACAAAAAGGCAUUGUACAGUAUGGGAGAAUAUAUUUGUAAAUGACAUAUCCAACAAGGGGUUAAUAUCCAAAAUAUAUAAAGAACUCACACGCCUCAACACCCAAAAAGCAAAUAACCCUAUUAAAAAAUGGGUGGAGGAUAUGAACAGACACUUCUCCAAAGAAGAAAUUCAGAUGGCCAACAGGCACAUGAAAUGAUGGUCCACAUUGCUAAUUAUUAGGGAAAUACAAAUUAAAACCACAAUGAGAUAUCACCUCACACCAGUUGGGAUGGCCAACAUAGAAAAGACUAGGAACAACAAAUGCUAGUGAGGAUGUGGAGAAAGGGGAACCCUCCUACACUGCUGGUGGCAAUGAAAGUUAGUUCAACCAUUGUGGAAAGCAAUAUGGAGGUUCCUCAAAAAACCAGAAAUAGAAAUACUAUUUGACCAAGGAAUUCCACUCCUAGGAAUUUACUCUAAGAAUGUAGGACCCCAGUUUCAAAAAGACAUAUGCACCUCUAUUUAUAUCGCAACAUUAUUUAUAAUAGCCAAGAAAUGGAAGCAACCUAAGUGUCCAUCAGUAGAUUAGUGGAUAAAGAAGAUGUGGUACAUAUACACAAUGGAAUAUUAUUCAGCCAUAAGAAGAAAACAAAUCCUACCAUUUGCAACAGCAUCAAUGGAGCUAGAGGGUAUUAUACUCAAUGAAAUAAGCCAGGUGGAGAAAGACAAGUACCAAAUGACUUCACUCAUCUGUGGAGCAUAAGAACAAAGCAAACACUGAAGGAACAAAACAGAAGUAGACUCACAGAAACCAAGAAUGGACUAACAGUUACCAAAGGGAAAGGGACUGGGGAGUGUGGGUGGGAAGGGAUGGAGAAGGAGAAUAAGGGGCAUUACGAUUAGCACACAUAAUGUAGGGGGAGUAGCACGGUGUAGGCAGUAUAGAACAGAGAAGACAAGUAGUAACUCUAUAGCAUCUUACUAUGCUGAUGGACAAUAAUGGGGUAUGUGGUGGGGACUUGAUAAUGGGGGGAAUCUAGUAACCAAAAUGUUGCUCAUGUGAAUUUAUAUUAAUGAUACCAAAAUAUAAAAAAGUUAAAAAAAAUACAUAAAAAAGGUCAUCCAUCAUGAUCAAGUGGGAUUUAUUCCAGGGAUACAAGGGUGGUACAAUAUUUGAAAUUCCACCAACAUCAACGAAAAGAAGGACAAAUACUGUAUGAUCAUCUCCAUAGAUGCUGAAAAAGCAUUUAACAAACUUCAACAUCCAUUCAUGAUGAAAACUCUCAACAUAAAGAUGAUGAUAAAAAUGCGUAAAGAGGGCAAGUAUCUCAACAUAAUUAAGGCCAUAUAUGACAAACUCAUAGCAACAUCAUACUUAACAGUGAGAAGAUGAAAGCUGUUCCUUUAAGAAAGGGAAGAAAACAAGGAUGCCCACCUCCCUACUUUUAUUCAACAUAGUUCUGGAGGUCCUAGCCACAGCAAUCAGACAACAUAAAGAAAUGAAAGGCAUCCAGAUUGGUAAGGAAGAAGUUAAACUGCCACUGUGUACAGAUGACAUGAUAUUGUACAUAAAACACCCUAAAGAAUCCACCCCAAAUCUACUAGAAAUAGCUGAAUUCAGCAAAGUUGCAGAUACAUAAUCAAUACACAGAAAUCUGUUGCAUUCCUAUAUACCAAUGAUGAACUAGCAGAAAGAGAAAUCAGGAAAACUAUUCCAUUCACAGCUGCAUCAAAAAGAAUAAAAUAACUAGGAAUAAACCCAACUGAGGAUGUGAAAGACCUAUAUCCUGAAAACUACAAGACACACAUGAGAGAAAUUAAAGAGGACAGUAAUAAAUGGAAAUUCAUCCCAUGCUCUUGGGUCGGAAGAAUUAAUAUUGUCAAAAUGGAUAUCCUGUCUAAAGCUAUCUACAGAUUCAAUGCAAUCCUUAUCAAAAUACCAAUGGCAUUCUUCAACAAACUAGAGAAAAUAGUUCUAAAAUUCAUAUGGAACCACAAACGGCCCUGAAUAACCAAAGCAAUCCUAAGAAAGAAGAAAAAAGCUGGGGGGAUUAUGCUCCCCAACUUCAAGCUCUACUAAAAAAGCCACAGUAAUCAAGACAAUUUAGUACUGGCACAAGAACAGACCCAUAGACCAAUGGAACAGAAUAGAGAGCCCAUAUAUAAACCCAUGCAUAUAUGGUCAAUUAAUAUACAAUAGGAGCCAUGGAUAUACAAUGGGGAAAUGACAGUCUCUUCAACAACUAGUGUUGGCAAAACUGGACAGCUACAUGCAAGAGAAUGAAACUGGAUUAUUGCCAAACCCCACACACAAAAGUAAACUCAAAAUGGAUGAAAGACCUGAAUGUAAGUCAUGAAGCCAUAAAACUCUUAGAAGAAAACAUAGGCAAAAAUAUCCUGAAUAUAAACAUGAGCAACUUUUCCCUGAACAUAUCUCCUUGGGCAAGGGAAACAAAAGCAAAAAUGAAUGACAUCAAACUAAAAAGCUUCUGUACAGCAAAGGACACCAUCAGUAGAACAAACAGGCAUCUUACAGUAUGGGAGUAUAUAUUCACAAAUGACAUAUCCAAGAAGGGGUUAGCAUCCAAAAUAUACAAAGAACUCACCGCCUCAAAACUCAAAAAGCAAAUAAUAUGACUAAAAAAUGGGUGGAGGAUGUGAACAAACACUUCUCCAAAAAAUAAAUUCAGUUGGCCAACAGGCACAUGAAAAGAUGCUCUACAUUGCUGAUUAUCAGGGAAAUGCUAAUUAAAACCACAAUGAGAAGUCACACAUCGAAAAGACAAGAAACAACAAAUGCUGGCAAGGAUGGAGAGAAAGGAGAACCCUUGUACACUGCUGGUGGGAAUGUAAAUUAGUUCAACCAUUGUGGAAAGCUAUGGAGGUCCCUCAAAAAACAAAAAAUGGAAAUUACAUUGACACAGGAAUUCCACUCCUAGGAAUUUACCCAAAGGAAACAAGAUCUCUGAUUCAAAAAGAGAUAGCAUCCCUAUGUUUAUCACAGCACCAUUUACAAUAGCCAAGAUAUGGAAGCAACCUAAGUGUCCAUCAGUAGAUGAAUGGAUAAAGAAGAUGCGGUACAUAUCCUAAAGAAAAGUACCAAAUGAUUUCCCUCAUUUGUGGAGUAUAACAACAAAGCAAAACUGAAGGAACAAAACAACAGCAGACUCACAGACUCCAAGAAGGGACUAGCGGUUACCAAAGGGGAGGUGUGGGGGUAUGUGGUAAGGGAGGGAGGUGGGGAUUGAUGGGUAUUAUGAUUAGGUACACAUGGAGUGUGUGUGGGGUCACAGAGAAGACAGUGUAGCACAGAGAAGACAAGUAGUGACUCUGUGGUAUCUUACUACGCUGAUGGACAGUGACUUCAAUGGGGUAUGGUGGGGACUUGAUAAUGUGGGUGAAUGUAGUAACCACAGUUUUUAUGUGAAAUCUUCAUAAGACUGUAUGUCAGUGAUACCUUAAUAAAAAAAAUUUUGUUGUGGUAUCCCCUAAACUGGGUUGUGUUUCAUUUCCAUUUUUCUCCUUUUUAUCUGCUUAUGAACCUAAAACUCUCUCCUGGAACUAUCAACUUACCAAUUUCUAAACAAAGUGUGUUGGUAUUAUAUAGAAUUAUUUUUUUCACUAAAAUAUGGUAACAAACCCAUUUCACAGCAUCUUUUCAUUUAAAGGAAUGUGUCAAAACCAGAUUACUUUUGCCACAAUUUAUAUGAUAGGUUAAAGAAGUAAUCCUACAAAUAUGCUAAUCACAUGCUGGAUUAUUGUACUGACUUCAUGUCAGAAAAAAAGAUUAAAAAAGUGCUGAUUUUCAUAUAAUUACUCUUACUAGAGAGUAUUAAUAGAGCUUAUGAUAUAAAAUAACAUUACACAUUUGGACUGUUUCCAGUUUUUGAGUAUUUUUAUAAAAGAAGCUGCUAUGAGCAUUCAUGUCAGGAAUUUGUGUGAACACACGUUUUCAUUUCUCUGGGAUAAAAUCAAGAACGCAAUUGCUGGGUCAUAUGCUAAAUCAUUUUUAGCUUUAUAAGGAACUGCCAACCUAUUUUUUUUUCUAUUUGUCUGAGAAAGUCUUUAUUUCUCCUUCACUUUUUUUUUUGAGAGGGCAUCUCUCAUAUUUAUUGAUCAAAUGGUUGUUAACAACAAUAAAAUUCUGUAUAGGGGACUCAAUGCACAAUCAUUAAUCAACCCCAAGCCUAAUUCUCAACAGUCUCCAAUCUUCUGAAGCAUAACGAACAAGUUCUUACAUGGUGAACAAGUUCUUACAUGGUGAACAAUGCAAGGGCAGUCACAUCACAGAAACUUUCGGUUUUGAUCACGCAUCAUGAACUAUAAACAAUCAAGUCAGAUAUGAUUAUUCAUUUGAUUUUUAUACUUGAUUUAUAUGUGAAUCCCACAUUUCUCCCUUAUUUAUUAAUUUUUUUAAAAAAAUAAAAUGCUGCAGUGGUAGGUAGAUGCAAGAUAAAGGUAGAAAACAUAAUUUAGUGCUGUAAGAGGGCAAAUGUAGAUGAUCAGAUGAUCAGGUGUGUGCCUGUAGACUAUGUGUUAAUCCAAGCUAGACAAGGGCAAUAAAACAUCCACGGAUGCAGAAGAUUUCUCUCAGAACAGGGGGGGUGAGGUUCUAAGCCUCACCUCUGUUGAACACCAAUUUCUCACCUGAUGACCCCCCUGCGACUGUGCCUGUCUUAGGUUGUUCCUCCCUUGAGGAAUCUUACCCGUCUCUGGCUAACCAGUCAUCUUCCGGGGCCAUACAGGGAAAUGUAAAGUUGGUAAGUGAGAGAGAAGCCUUAUUGUUUGAAAUGGUUAGCUUUUUAUUUCUUUGCAUAUU